UGGGGAAUAUUGGACAAUGGGCGAAAGCCUGAUCCAGCAAUUCCGCGUGUGUGAAGAAGGCCUUCGGGUUGUAAAGCACUUUAGUGGGGGAAGAAACAGCUUGGCCACACCAAGCCUUGACGGUACCCCAAGAAUAAGCACCGGCUAACUCUGUGCCAGCAGCCGCGGUAAUACAGAGGGUGCAAGCGUUAAUCGGAUUUACUGGGCGUAAAGGGUGCGUAGGUGGUCUUUUAAGUCGGAUGUGAAAGCCUGGGGCUCAACCUCAGAAUUGCAUUCGAUACUGGGAAACUAGAGUUCGGUAGAGGGCGGCGGAAUUUCCGGUGUAGCGGUGAAAUGCGUAGAUAUCGGAAGGAACAUCAAUGGCGAAGGCAGCCGCCUGGGCCUGGACUGACACUGAGGCACGAAAGCGUGGGUAGCAAACA
rnacentral:rRNA from 1 species